GAGGAAACGGAGCGGUGCACAGAAUGAGUAUGUGGCCUGUGCUGUAGUGUGGACUGCAGGAGCUUCUAGAAAGGGCAAGCUCGGCUCUGCAGGCGCUUGUGGCUGGCUGGAGCUGCCCUCCUCCAUCCUGGCACAUCCUCCUCCACUCCAUGCACUGGCCACCCACCCAGGGCUUCUCUGCUUUCACAUCCUGCUUGGCUGUUACAAAAACAGCUAUGAAAAGUUUUCCAAAAGAGAAACCUAGUAAGCUCAAUUUCUUUCCAUUUGAUGCCUGCUACAAUAGGCCACUUAAGACUCGAAUCACAGCACAGCUGUGCUCUCCAUGCCUCAUAGUGCUUUACUUUUUCCCCUAGAUAUCUGCGUAUCUAACAGGUGGGACAGUCGCCAGGGCAGGCGGCUCAGGGUCAGGGUCAGGGCUGCAGUCAGGGUCGGAUCGAGUUAGGCUUAGGGUCAGGGUCAGGAUCCAGUUAGGGCUGGGGUAGAGACGGUGAGGACGGCCGGGUCUAGGGCGCGGUUGGCGUUGGUGCCACCAGGGAGGAACAGGGCUGCCCCCUCUGCUUCCCGUCCGCACGGAGCUCCUGUCCUCCCAACCCCGCCCCGGGCGCCGGGCUGCCGCCUGCGGUGUAGACGCGGGGAGGGGACCCCGGUCUGACUGAGCCGGCGCGCAGGGCCCCCUCCCAGCGAGACCCUGGGAGACACAGACCGCGCCGGGAAGAGCGGCCCCGGCAGGACGAGCGGCGGCGCGUGUGCAGGGCUGGCCGAGGGCGGGAGGUCGCAGCGCGGACAGCCGGGCGGGGCCCCAGGGACGCGGCGAGGGGACGGCGCCGCUGCGCUCACGCCCGUCUCACGGCGCACCCGCUCCCGCCGUCCGCGCGGGCCUCCGCCUUCCCGGCCACGGGCGCUGGGGACCCGCGCGGCGGCCGGGGCUCCUGACGGAAGCCGGGGGCGCCCCGGGGACGACCCGCGCCCGCCAGCCCCCACCCCCGUGACAGCAGCGCCCCCUCGGGGCCCGCGACCCGCAGGAAGCAGCGGCCGCCUGAACGCGAACGAACCCGAAGGAACGCGAACGCGAACCGUCCGCAGCCCGGGCCGCCCGACGGGACGCCCUGCGCAGAGCCGACGCCGCGGAGCGCCCCGCGCGGUCCCGUCUCCGCAGACGCCGCCCGCACGACGCCGGCGAGCGAGCCCAGGGCAGCCCCUGCCGUCCGCAGCCACGCGCGGUCCAGACGCGCCCCCGCCCGCCCCCGCCGCCUCUUCCAGGGUCGCGUCCGUCCCCGCGCGCGGCCGCGAGAUCCCGGAUGCUACCUGCCCGCCGGGGGCGCGGGGGCUCCCGGGCCUCUGCGGAGAGACCCCGACCCCCGUGUCCCCGAGUCCCCACUUCACUCCGGCUCCACGUGCCGCCCCGCCCCAUGGCCGCCGCCGCCCCUCGCCGCCCAGCCCUCUCAGUCGCUCCGCCUCCGCUUCCUUAGCGCGUCCUCGCUGCACACGGCCCCUCCGCCCUCCCCUUAGGCCCUCGGCUCUUUCCGUCAGUCCUCGGCCCUCCCCGACCAGCAGUGGCUCUUUCCCUGGAUGCUCCGCCCUGUCGUCGACGCUCGGCUCUUUCCGUAGACACUCGGCUCCCCCCUCCCCACUCGGCUCUCUUCGUCAGUACCGUGCUUCUGAGACACCCUCGGCCCUUUCCGUCUCCCCUCGGCUCUUUCCGUCAGGACUCUGCGACUCGGACAAGCUCGGUGCGCUCGGCCAGCGUCGGUUGUUUCCGUCGCCCCUCGGCUCCAGCCGGCUAUGGGCGUCUCGGUUGAGGCCCAGCCCGCGGGCCGCGCUCGUGUGCGCUGGGCGGUGGCUGCGUCUGUGCUGAAACGGCAGCUCGCGGAGGACUGUGUGCCGGCGGAGGGGCAGCGCGGUCCCGGGGAAAGUCCCGGCGCGGGGCCGGGCGGGGACGGUGGAGCGGGCCCGGGUCAGGGUUCGGCCUCAGGAUCGGGGCUGGAGGCUUCAUGGAUACGGGACAAGCAACGGUGGACGAGGCCCGAGGGAGCCAUUGGGGUUGAAACGAACCCGGCCGGCGCUGGUUUUCCCGAAGGGGCCGGGCCUGUGGGGUCGCCUGCAUCCGCUUUAAACGCUGACCGUGUCCCCAAGACGGGAGCGAGCCGUAAGGAUGGGGACGCAGCGUCCCCACGUCGGCGUUUCCGGAAGGAAAACCGUCUCCCCCUAAACUCAGGAUUGAGUGCCGACCCGGCCGCCUGUGACCUCCGACCCGCUGUGACCUCCGACCCGCGGUGUCAGCAAAGCCGCUGGUGACAAGUGAAGGGACAUCCCUGUCAUAUGUGGCGGAUGCCAUUUGUUCCAAGACCCUAUGUAGCCGCUCUGUGACCCCCUUCUGUGGAGCCCUUGCUGCCUUGGGGAGAAAGGCCCCGGGCUAGUCCCCACAGCUGCCCUGUAGGAGCUCACCCAGUUGUCACUGGUAGAUUAAUUAUGGAGUGUUAGCGGCUAAAGGGUUAGGGUUAGGGCUGGGGUCAGGGAUGUGGUUAGGGUGGGCGUUGGGGUCGGGGUCAGGGUGACGGGAAUGUUUACGGUUUAAGAUGGGGUCUGGAAUUAGAGGCAAGGGGGGAGAAGAGCAGGGUCAGAGUAAGGGUGAUGGCGAAUUUAUGGGUUGUGGGUUAAGGAUGUGGGAUACCGGUUAAGGUUGGAGGUUUGUGUACACCGACCCUCAUUUCAGUUUCCCCACAUUAAACCCAGCAUAUAUGGGGUUACAACCAAACACUCAUUCCCUGCUUACUCCCUGGCUUCCUGGCUCCAGAAUCCACUAUCCUCCAUGGAGACAGACACCGCCAAGGACAAGCACCUGGACCAUCUCCUCCCUGAAAGAGAUACAAGCUGCUGGGAGAGCUGCUGACCAGCCAGGCCACGGGCUCCCUCCUCUCUGCCAGUGUCUCAAGGCCAAAGACAGGCCGGUGGGAAAGCUCCAACCAGCAGGCUACAUGCUUCCCUUCCCCUACCGAAAACCCCAAAUAAAAACUUUUAGCUUUUCGGGGAGUUUGGGAUU
rnacentral:lncRNA from 1 species